rnacentral:lncRNA from 1 species
UUUAAAUUUACAAAAUGAAGUGUAUUAGAAAAUGUUUAUCAUUUUUUUAAAUUUUCUUUGCAGUACACGGUUUAUAUUUUUCCUUUUUUUAAAAAAAAAAAACCCUUUUAUUACAAUGCUGGAUAUGUACAAAAAUUAAUAAGCUGCAUUGUCUACUUUUAUGUCAAAAAAUGAAUUCAGUUACCAGUUAGUGUGUUGCCAACAUAUAUGAACAUAUACUCACCAAAUACAAUGGGACCAAAUUAUAAUUUCUUUACAAUUCCUACAAUGAAAAUAUAUACAUAUAUCUAUAUAUACAAUGUUUUCUUACCUUAAAAGGUUAUCUGCAAAGGACAUUGCUGAUAUAACCCAUAUUUUAAUUAAAUUUUCCUAAAAGCCUCACUAUCUUACUUAAACAGAAAUAAUCCGAUAUCAGAAAUGCACAAUUAAUUACAUCCAGAAAAUAGGUUUCUUUUAGGAGAAAAAUGGUAUAAAACAUGUAUAUUCAAUGACAAGUGACAUAACUAACUGACUAAAUAGGAAUUUAAACAUAUUGUGUUGAUUUUUUUGUCCUUUAUGUUUGAAUAUAUAAAUAUAUGUAUAUAUAAACAUAUAUGCAUAUUUUCCCAGAUAGCCAAAUUAUUACACUAACCAGUGUUUCCGACAGGCAGUGUGAUCUUGUGCUGUGUACUUUAAAAACAGAUUCAGAUCAAGUUCAUGUAAUAUUUUAAAAACAUUCAUAAUCAGGGGCUCUGACUUUUUUUUUUGCAUAAUUCAUGUAUUCCAUUAAUGUGUUCUAUAUGUGUGUUUUUUUCCUUAUGUUAUCUGUUACAAGUUUCGUUAACAUGGGGGCUCUUUUGAUUCACAGACUUUCUUUCUCUAGACUGACAAAAGUUCAGACAGGUUAUUAAUUGGCUUCCAGCAUACGGUGCCCUUUUUUACCAUUUACAUAUUAUUGUAACUCAGCAGCUGCCGACUUUAACUGUCAAUCAAUCAAUGAACAAUCUAUCUAUGUAUAGUGUCAGGCCGUGCCGCAGAGAAUAUUAUAGCAAAAGGAAGAAAACAUUAGAAAAUUAGAAGAAAACACAAUGUAGAACAUGAAGAAUAUUAUUAUGCAAAAUAAUCUGAGCCCAAGUGCUAAGAGUAGGACAACUAAUAUGAACUUUCCUUAGGUUUCCCUGACAUUUAAACUACUUUUAGUCCUUCACUCCAAAAAUUAUUGCCAGUACAUUUUCAUACUAGGAAAGAAAUUUGUAAAGUUUUAGAAAAGUCAACUACAUCUGAAAUAAAAGCAUUGUCAAUUCUAGUUUAAAGCAUACCACUUUAUCACCAUAUCUACUUGAAAAAGUAUUGCUAAAUAUUACCUGGCUAAUAUACCUGAUAAUUUACACAAAUCUACAAAUUAUAUUCCCGAUAUUCCCAAAUCAGUUUUGAAGAACAGCACAAGAACAAAGUAUCUACCAAAAUCUAAAUAACUGAAUAUAUAUCUAUUUGUGCCAAAAAGCAGGUUCUGAGCAGUUUGAGGUUCCAAAUGCAAUCUAAUGCAAUCAGAAUGGAUCCCCAGGUCCCUGUGACACGUUGUUACAGCACUUUCCGCUUCAAAACAAAAAUAGGUUUGCAAAUCUGGGUUCAUUCUUGGAAAGUGCAGACUAGCCUCAAAGUAUCAGGAACAACUGGUAAACUUUUGUUAAAUACGUUUUGGUACCUGCAGCCUUUCAAUGUAAUUUUGCAGUAUCUAACAUGGACUUGGAGUUAAGAAUGUACAUUGGUGGAAUGUGGGUGGGAUGGGACCUCCCAGUAGGAUCUUGUUGCUAGUAGCUAAGGAGAAAGAUGAUUGUAUUUCUGUGAGAUUAGGCCUUUUAAAAAAAAUUAUUUUGUAAGAAAUUACGUUUUGUUUUUGAUUUUCAUUUGUGAGUUUAGAGAUUGCAAUGAGAAAAGUAACACUUCUUUUUGUUUUCUUGUAAAAUUGUAAAAUGGAAGCGACAGAUUUGAGAAUAAAAUAAUGCAAAACCUUUAUAUUCUGCUGUUUCCAUCUUGUCUUUUUUCUUAUGCAUUGUUGAUUGAAAAAGUUUAAUAAGACAUUGAAAACAAUGGAAACAUAAUAAUUAUGAAUGUUGCCCAUUGACGUAGCUCUGAUUGAUUCAGCAGUGCUUUCUGCAU